GACGAACGUUGGCGGCGUGCUUAACACAUGCAAGCCGAACGGAAAGGCCCUGCUUUUGUGGGGUGCUCGAGUGGCGAACGGGUGAGUAACACGUGAGUAACCUGCCCUUGACUUUGGGAUAACUUCAGGAAACUGGGGCUAAUACCGGAUAGGAGCUCCUGCUGCAUGGUGGGGGUUGGAAAGUUUCGGCGGUUGGGGAUGGACUCGCGGCUUAUCAGCUUGUUGGUGGGGUAGUGGCUUACCAAGGCUUUGACGGGUAGCCGGCCUGAGAGGGUGACCGGCCACAUUGGGACUGAGAUACGGCCCAGACUCCUACGGGAGGCAGCAGUGGGGAAUAUUGCACAAUGGGCGGAAGCCUGAUGCAGCAACGCCGCGUGCGGGAUGACGGCCUUCGGGUUGUAAACCGCUUUCGCCUGUGACGAAGCGUGAGUGACGGUAAUGGGUAAAGAAGCACCGGCUAACUACGUGCCGGCAGCCGCGGUGAUACGUAGGGCGCGAGCGUUGUCCGGAUUUAUUGGGCGUAAAGGGCUCGUAGGUGGUUGAUCGCGUCGGAAGUGUAAUCUUGGGGCUUAACCCUGAGCGUGCUUUCGAUACGGGUUGACUUGAGGAAGGUAGGGGAGAAUGGAAUUCCUGGUGGAGCGGUGGAAUGCGCAGAUAUCAGGAGGAACACCAGUGGCGAAGGCGGUUCUCUGGGCCUUUCCUGACGCUGAGGAGCGAAAGCGUGGGGAGCAAACAGGCUUAGAUACCCUGGUAGUCCACGCUGUAAACGGUGGGUACUAGGUGUGGGGUCCAUUCCACGGGUUCCGUGCCGUAGCUAACGCUUUAAGUACCCCGCCUGGGGAGUACGGCCGCAAGGCUAAAACUCAAAGGAAUUGACGGGGCCCCGCACAAGCGGCGGAGCAUGCGGAUUAAUUCGAUGCAACGCGUAGAACCUUACCUGGGUUUGACAUGGAUCGGGAGUGCUCAGAGAUGGGUGUGCCUCUUUUGGGGUCGGUUCACAGGUGGUGCAUGCCUGUCGUCAGCUCGUGUCGUGAGAUGUUGGGUUAAGUCCCGCAACGAGCGCAACCCUUGUUCACUGUUGCCAGCACGUUAUGGUGGGGACUCAGUGGAGACCGCCGGGGUCAACUCGGAGGAAGGUGGGGAUGACGUCAAGUCAUCAUGCCCCUUAUGUCCAGGGCUUCACGCAUGCUACAAUGGCUGGUACAGAGAGUGGCGAGCCUGUGAGGGUGAGCGAAUCUCGGAAAGCCGGUCUCAGUUCGGAUUGGGGUCUGCAACUCGACCUCAUGAAGUCGGAGUCGCUAGUAAUCGCAGAUCAGCAACGCUGCGGUGAAUACGUUCCCGGG
rnacentral:rRNA from 1 species